UCUCUUUCUUUCUCAGUUUCAAUUCUCCUAAAAAAGUCUGAUCCCUGUCGGCUCUCGCCUAUAUCUCAGAAACUAAAACAAAAAGCAAAAUUGAAGCUUUGAUCCUUCUCUUUCCCUUCUGAUUUAUUCGUGAAAAGUCUUUCAUCUUCGAUUUCUUUAUUUUUGAAAUCAAAGAUCCCAAAGAGUGAAAUUAGGGUUCUAAUUUCUCUCUGGUUUGGUUUUCAGUAUGUCUUGAUUAGGUAUUUUUUUUAUUUCGGAUUUUGAUUUAGAAGGGGAAAAUUGAGAAUGAUUAAAUUUGAGAAUUUCUGUGUUGUUUCUUGUAUUUUACGCAUUAAAUUUGUGUACUCAACUCUGAAGUUCCCAGAUUGAGAGUCCUCAACUGAGAAAAUUGAUGCUUAUUAACCCGUGGAAAGAUAAUUUGGAGUCUGUAUUUCUUGAAUAUCAGGGUUGGGUGAUAUUUGUUUUCUUUUUCCUAUAGAUUUCAGUUUUUCAAAAGUCUGAUUGUGUUUGUUGAAUCGAACUAUCUAUCAUUUCUGGUUUUGUCAAAUAGUGAUGUUGAUUCAAGGAUGUUUACAUGGCCAAAUUUAUACAAUUGAUGGAGAUUUGUACAAGGCGAUUAUUAGAAUUACUGGGAGAAAGGACUUCACGGUGAAAGUCAAGAGCUUAACUCUAGAUUGCUAAAUCAAGAUGCAUAAAUUAUGGAACGCAGAGUGGAGAAUAAGAAGCUGGAAUCCUGCACUCCAAAGUAUUACAAUGGCUCCCUCUCAUUAGAGAAACAAAGUGAUGUUGAUUCAAUGAUGUUUUCAUUCCCAAAAUUGCAAUUAAUUGAGAUUCGCGUACAUCGGCCACGCUAUUACUAGAAUUACUGGGUUAUGCGAGCCGGCGAAAAACUUAGCUACAAUUUUCGGGAGUUAACAUUGUCUCCUGCCCUACCCCGACUUGCUCGGGACCACAGGGCUUUGGUUUCUGGUUACUAGUGUGGUCCGAGGUUUAUUUUAAAUUGACUUGAAUCUGCUUGUUGGUAGUGCAUAGUCCUUACACUGAAUUUUUUUAAAGGGUAUUUAUUUCGUCCAUUUUUAAACUAGUACUGCCAAUUGCCAAGAUGUUCUUUGUAGUUCCAUUUCCAAAGUCAAUCACAUUCAUAUUAAAUUUUCAAGUCCUGAAACAGCAUUUGUAUAUACAACUAGAACAGGAUUUGUGUUCUGUACUGUAUCAGGAGCAAAGAUGACCUUGGGAUCCUCAUUCUCUACUCCUGCUCAAUCACCAAAAGAGCAAGCAGGUAAUUAACUUUAACUUGAACUAGUGUGCAUUUUCUUUUUGGUCAUGGUCAUAAAUUUUUUUGUAGUUUGUCGAUGCAUAAUGAUAUGGGUGUGUUAGUCCCUCUUGUCUAACAGUGGUGUUGCAUUUUUAUUUUCACUUUUUGAUUGGUUUAUGAGUUUUAUUCGAAUUCAGUGACAUGAGUUGUCAAACUGAUUGGUUUCUUGUUUUACACACUCGUGUUCUUUAAGGACCUGUAAACAUUUGUGAAAUGUUGUUUAAACUAUUUGAUUUGAUUAACAUGUUAUUCCCGUACAAAGUAUGCAGUGAAGGCUUCUCAAAGAGUCAAGCAAAUUGAAAUUAUGUAUUUUCCCCCUUUCAGCAGGAUAUAAUCUUCACACAGGAUUUUCUUUAAGUGUUCUUGUGAUAACCAAAAACAUACAUCUGCAAAAUCGAACAUUGGAGUUUAAAAAGUAAAACAUAACAAUUCUUGAACUCUUUUAUGAUCACAUAUUUUUUGGGUAAUGUUUUUGUACAAGAAUCCAUGUGCCAACUGUUAUAGUUCUUGAAAAAUGUUGAACAAAUAGCUUUGUAACUGCUGGAAGGGUUGGUUCCCAACAACAGAGAAGGCAGUAUGGCGGAAGUUGGUUUUAGUUUUGAAAUUGUUGAACUUCGUGUUAAAAAAUUCAGAUUUUGACUGGAAUGAUACGGGCUGUUGGAUUUGUAAAAUUGUUCGGUAUAAAAACCCAAGUGCUAGUACAGUGUGUAAAUACUAGUACAAUGUGGUAAGAGUGAACCUUUCAUUCAUGCAUCACAAGAGAUGAUGUGGUAGAGCUUCUUGAGAUGAUGUGGUAGAUCUUGAGGAGAUUGUGCCAGAAGAAGAUGACUCGGAUCAAGAAUAAUAAUUGGUUACUGUUAUUUUAUUUGAAACUUAAUAUUCAUUGCUUGUUUACUCGAAACUCGAUAAAUAUUAAUUGUAAUGCUAAUUUUUUCGCAAACCAGUUAAGUAAUCUAUGGCUAUGGCUGUGUUAUUA